rnacentral:misc_RNA from 1 species
AGACCGGUCUACUGGUCGUGCUUUUGUACGUACUGGUUUUAUUGGUUUCUCCUUUCUGACGAACUAUAAUGCCAUUAAUUUGGUGUUAUGGGGAAUCAGGACUGUUACUUUGAAAAAAUUAGAGUGUUUAAAGCAGGCUCACGCUUGAAUACAUUAGCAUGGAAUAACGGAAUAGGACGUUUGAUUCUAUUUUGUUGGUUUCUAGGAUCGACGUA